UCCUACGGGAGGCAGCAGUGGGGUAUUUUCCGCAAUGGGCGAAAGCCUGACGGAGCAAUACAGCGUGAGGGAAGACUGCCUAUGGGUUGUAAACCUCUUUUUUCAGGGAGGAAUAAAUGACGUGUACCUGAAGAAUAAGCAUCGGCUAACUCCGCGCCAGCAGCCGCGGUAAGACGGAGGAUGCAAGUGUUAUCCGGAAUCACUGGGCGUAAAGCGUCUGUAGGUGGUUUAAUAAGUCAACUGUUAAAUCUUGAGGCUCAACUUCAAAAUCGCAGUCGAAACUAUUAGACUAGAGUAUAGUAGAGGUAAAGGGAAUUUCCAGUGGAGCGGUGAAAUGCGUAGAUAUUGGAAAGAACACCGAUGGCGAAAGCACUUUACUGGGCUAUUACUAACACUCAGAGACGAAAGCUAGGGUAGCAAAUGGGAUUAGAUACCCCAGUAGUCCUAGCCGUAAACAAUGGAUACUAGAUGUUGAACAGAUCGACCUGUGCAGUAUCAAAGCUAACGCGUUAAGUAUCCCGCCUAGGAAGUAUGCUCGCAAGAGUGAAACUCAAAGGAAUUGACGGA
rnacentral:rRNA from 1 species